rnacentral:lncRNA from 1 species
UUGUUUUCAAAUCAGUUCAAUUCAAAUAACAGCACAUAUAUAACAACACAUAUCAGCACAUAUCAACGAACGUAAGCAUAAGCAUCAUCACAACAAUAGAUCAUCAUCACACAAGCAUAAGCAUCAUCACAACAAUAGAUCAUCAUCACACAAGCAUAAGCAUAUCAACGAACGUAAGCAUAAGCAUAAGCAUCAUCACACAAGUCAUCUAAAUGAUCAUCAGCACACAAAAGUCAUCUCAAGCAUCAUCAUCACAUCUCAAGCAUCAUCGAGCACCGCGGAGGUCAUCACCGCCAAGACCGCCGAAGCCCAG